rnacentral:tRNA from 1 species
GGUGGUGGGUAUAGCUCAGUGGUAGAGCAUGUGCCUAGCAUGCACAAGGUCCUGGGUUCAAUCCCCAGCACCUCCA